rnacentral:rRNA from 1 species
UUAUUAUUUACAUUAAUAAUUUAUUUGUGCAAUUCAAAUGGGUUUGAUUUAUUUAUUUUAUUAUUUAUUUUAUUAUUUAUUUUAUUUUUAUAAAAAUAAUUUUAUUUUUAGUAAUUUUUGUUGAAAUAUUUUUUUUAUUUAUAGUUUAUUAGUAUCGUGAGAGAAUUAUUUUAAUUUUAUAAAAGAAUUAUUUUAGUUAAGUACCUUUUGCAUCAGGGUUUAUUAAUUUUUAAUUAAUUAUUUUAUUUUUCCCGAAAUUAUAAGAUUUAUAUUUAUAUGAUUUUUAAUGUUUUAAAAUUAUAUUUAAUUUAAAUAUAGUGGUGAUAUGCUAUUCAUUUAUUAAUAUAUCUGGUUUUUUAAUAAUUUUAUUUAAUAAAGAAUUAUUUUUUAGUAUUAUAAUUUUAUUUAUAUUGUUUUAUAAUUUUAAUCAAUAAAGGAUAAGCUUUUUUGAUUUUAUAUAACUUAUUUAUAUUAAAAGUUUUGUAGGAUUAGUAACUUUCAUCAUUAAUUUCGUUAUAGUUUAACUUUUUUUAUUUUUUAUUUAUUUUUGUUUAUUUUUUUAUUAAAUUUUUUUAAUAAAUUUUAUUUUAUAUGUAAUAAUGAUAGAAUUAGUAUUUUUUAAAAUAAGAUAUAGUAAUUCGGCAAUUUUAAUUUUCACCUGUUUAUCAAAAACAUGUCUUUUUGUUUUUUUAUAUAAAGUCUGACCUGCUCUAUGAUUAUUAUUAAAUGGCCGCAGUAUUUUAACUGUGCAAAGGUAGCAUGAUCAUUUGUCUUUUAAUUAGAGGCUUGUAUGAAUGGUCUGAUGAGAGAUUAACUUUCUUUGUUUUAUUUUAGAAAACUUUAUUUAUUAGUUAAAAAGCUAAUAUAUUUUUAUUAGACGAGAAGACC